rnacentral:rRNA from 1 species
UACGAAGGGGGCUAGCGUUGUUCGGAUUUACUGGGCGUAAAGCGCACGUAGGCGGAUCGUUAAGUCGGGGGUGAAAUCCUGGAGCUCAACUCCAGAACUGCCUUCGAUACUGGCGAUCUUGAGUCCGGAAGAGGUGAGUGGAACUCCUAGUGUAGAGGUGGAAUUCGUAGAUAGUUAGGAAGAACACCAGUGGCGAAGGCGGCUCACUGGUCCGGUACUGACGCUGAGGUGCGAAAGCUAGGGGAGCAAACGGG